GGGUUGUGAGGUUAAGCGACUAAGCGUACACGGUGGAUGCCCUGGCAGUCAGAGGCGAUGAAGGGCGUGCUAAUCUGCGAUAAGCGCCGGUAAGGUGAUAUGAACCGUUAUAACCGGCGAUACCCGAAUGGGGAAACCCAGUGUGAUUCGUCACACUAUCAUUAACUGAAUCCAUAGGUUAAUGAGGCGAACCGGGGGAACUGAAACAUCUAAGUACCCCGAGGAAAAGAAAUCAACCGAGAUUCCCCCAGUAGCGGCGAGCGAACGGGGAGGAGCCCAGAGCCUGAAUCAGCAUGUGUGUUAGUGGAAGCGUCUGGAAAGGCGCGCGAUACAGGGUGACAGCCCCGUACACAAAAGCGCAUGUGCUGUGAGCUCGAUGAGUAGGGCGGGACACGUGGUAUCCUGUCUGAAUAUGGGGGGACCAUCCUCCAAGGCUAAAUACUCCUGACUGACCGAUAGUGAACCAGUACCGUGAGGGAAAGGCGAAAAGAACCCCGGCGAGGGGAGUGAAAAAGAACCUGAAACCGUGUACGUACAAGCAGUGGGAGCACAGGUUUACCUGUGUGACUGCGUACCUUUUGUAUAAUGGGUCAGCGACUUAUAUUCUGUAGCAAGGUUAACCGAAUAGGGGAGCCGGAGGGAAACCGAGUCUUAACCGGGCGUUAAGUUGCAGGGUAUAGACCCGAAACCCGGUGAUCUAGCCAUGGGCAGGUUGAAGGUUGGGUAACACUAACUGGAGGACCGAACCGACUAAUGUUGAAAAAUUAGCGGAUGACCUGUGGCUGGGGGUGAAAGGCCAAUCAAACCGGGAGAUAGCUGGUUCUCCCCGAAAGCUAUUUAGGUAGCGCCUCGUGAAUUCAUCUCCGGGGGUAGAGCACUGUUUCGGCUAGGGGG
rnacentral:rRNA from 1 species